ACCUUACAGGCCUUGAAUCCAAUGAACUUUCCAGAGAUGGAUUGGUGCUUCGGGAACAUUGAGACAGGUGCUGAUGGUGUCGUCAGCUCGUGUCGUGAGAUGUUGGAUUAAGACCCGUAACGAGCGCAACGCCUUGUCCUUAGUUACCAGCACGUUAAGGUGGGCACUCUAAGGAGACUGCCGGUGACAAACCGGAGGAAAGGUGGCGAUGACGUCAAGUCAUAAUGGGCCCUUACGGCCUGAGCUACACACGUGCUACAAUGGUCGGUACAGAGGGUUGCCAAGCCGCGAGUGGGAGCUAAUCCCAGAAAACCGAUCGUAGUCCGGAUCGCAGUCUGAACUCGACUGCGUGAAGUCGGAAUCGCUAGUAAUCGCAAAUCAGAAUGUCGCGGGGAAUACGUUCCCGGGCCUUGUACAACCGCCCGUCACACCAUGGGAAGUGUAUGCACCAGAAGUAGCUAGUCUAACCCUUCGGGAGGACGGUUACCACGGUGUGAUUCAAUGACUAGGAUAAAGUCGUAACAAGGUAACCCGUAC
rnacentral:rRNA from 1 species